rnacentral:lncRNA from 1 species
GGGGUGCAGGUCAAGUGAUCAAUGUCUCUUAUUGGCUGUUCACGGCCAAGCCACAGUAGGCCAGGUAUGUGGCGACAUUAAAGGCGGGGUGGGUGGGUUAGCUGGCCCGUGGCUUUCAAACAUAUCAGCAAUCAGCACUAAAUUUUGGUGCUCGUUGGUUCUCCAAAAUCACUUAUCCGAUUCUAAAUUAAGCCGCAAGAACGGAAAGAUUAUUGCAGAACUUUGAUGUAUUAUCU